UGCCUUUCCUCUUCACCUCAGCUCUCCUUUUAUAGAAGAAGCUUGGACAUGUGAAAGCCAUAAUUAUUGACAAAAUCACCUCCUUCACCGUCCAACUUCACCGUCCAUCACCGUCCAUUAUGAAACACAUGAUUUUUGACUUACACUGUUACCAUUCGAUCUUCCUCCUUCAAUCUUUUUGAUAUCUUCAAAACACAUAUCAUCAUCUUCCUCAUCCUCAUCUUCAACCUUUCUAUAAACACUGUAAUCCUCACCAUUCUCGUCCGCUUCAGCAACAAUAGAGAUACCAGCAUCCUUCUCCCCAUCGUCCUCCUCCCCAU
rnacentral:lncRNA from 1 species